UCGAGGAUCAUUCGCAAUGCGCGAAAGCGUGACGGUGCGACGCCGCGUGCAGGAUGAAGGCCUUCGGGUCGUAAACUGCUGUCAUGAGGGAACAAUGUCCGGAAUGUUAACACCAUUUCGGGGUGAUAGUACCUCAAGAGGAAGCCACGGCUAACUCUGUGCCAGCAGCCGCGGUAAUACAGAGGCGGCGAGCGUUGUUCGGAUUUCCUGGGCGUAAAGGGUGCGUAGGCGGUUCUGUGUGUCGGAUGUGAAAUCUCACAGCUCAACUGUGGAAUUGCAUUCGAAACGACAGGGCUGGAGUACAGGAGAGGAGAGCGGAAUUCUCGGUGUAGCGGUGAAAUUCGUAGAUAUCGAGAGGAACACCGGGGGCGAAGGCGGCUCUCUGGACUGAUACUGACGCUGAGGCACGAAAGCUGGGGGAGCAAACA
rnacentral:rRNA from 1 species